rnacentral:rRNA from 1 species
CCCUUAGAUGUUCUGGGCCGCACGCGCGCUACACUGAUACGUUCAACGAGCUCCUUGACCGAGAGGUCCGGGUAAUCUUUGAAACCGUAUCGUGAUGGGGAUAGAACAUUGCAAUUAUUGUUCUUCAACGAGGAAUGCCUAGUAAGCGCGAGUCAUCAUCUCGCGUUGAUUACGUCCCUGCCCUUUGUACACACCGCCCGUCGCUCCUACCGAUUGAACGUGCUGGUGAAGCGUUAGGACUGGAGGUCUUGGGCCGGUUCGCCUGCCCAUAGCUUCGGGAAUUUCGUUGAACCCUCCCGUUUAGAGGAAGGAGAAGUCGUAACA